GGGGAAUUUUCCGCAAUGGGCGAAAGCCUGACGGAGCAAUACCGCGUGAGGGAUGACGGCCCUUGGGUUGUAAACCUCUUUUAUCAAGGAGGAAGUUCUGACGUGUACUUGAUGAAUAAGCAUCGGCUAACUCCGUGCCAGCAGCCGCGGUAAGACGGAGGAUGCAAGUGUUAUCCGGAAUCACUGGGCGUAAAGCGUCUGUAGGUGGUUCGAAAAGUCCACUGUUAAAAAUUGAGGCUUAACUUCAAAGAUGCCGUGGAAACUUUCAAACUAGAGUAUGGUAGGGGUAGAGGGAAUUUCCAGUGGAGCGGUGAAAUGCGUAGAUAUUGGAAAGACCACCGAUGGCGAAGGCACUCUACUGGGCCAUUACUGACACUGAGAGACGAAAGCUAGGGGAGCAAAAGGGAUUAGAUACCCCUGUAGUC
rnacentral:rRNA from 1 species